GGGAUUGCCUCAGUAACGGCGAGUGAAGCGGCAAGAGCUCAAAUUUGAAAGCUGGCUCCUUCGGAGUCCGCAUUGUAAUUUGCAGAGGAUGCUUUGGGUGCGGCCCCCGUCUAAGUGCCCUGGAACGGGCCGUCAGAGAGGGUGAGAAUCCCGUCUUGGGCGGGGUGUCCGUGCCCGGUGUAAAGCUCCUUCGACGAGUCGAGUUGUUUGGGAAUGCAGCUCUAAAUGGGUGGUAAAUUUCAUCUAAAGCUAAAUACUGGCCGGAGACCGAUAGCGCACAAGUAGAGUGAUCGAAAGAUGAAAAGCACUUUGAAAAGAGAGUUAAACAGCACGUGAAAUUGUUGAAAGGGAAGCGCUUGCGACCAGACUCGCCCGCGGGGUUCAGCCGGCAUUCGUGCCGGUGUACUUCCCCGUGGGCGGGCCAGCGUCGGUUUGGGCGGCCGGUCAAAGGCCCCUGGAAUGUAGUACCCUCCGGGGUACCUUAUAGCCAGGGGUGCAAUGCGGCCAGCCUGGACCGAGGAACGCGCUUCGGCACGGACGCUGGCAUAAUGGUCGUAAACGACCCGUCUUGAAACACGGACCAAGGAGUCUAACAUCUACGCGAGUGUUCGGGUGUCAAACCCGUGCGCGCAGUGAAAGCGAACGGAGGUGGGAGCCCCCUCGCGGGGCGCACCAUCGACCGAUCCUGAUGUCUUCGGAUGGAUUUGAGUAAGAGCGUAAAUGUGGGGACCCGAAAGAUGGUGAACUAUGCCUGAAUAGGGCGAAGCCAGAGGAAACUCUGGUGGAGGCUCGCAGCGGUUCUGACGUGCAAAUCGAUCGUCAAAUUUGGGUAUAGGGGCGAAAGACUAAUCGAACCAUCUAGUAGCUGGUUCCUGCG
rnacentral:rRNA from 1 species